AGUGAACGUUGGCGGCGUGGAUUAGGCAUGCAAGUCGAGCGAGAACCGUAGCAAUACGGGGACAGCGGCGAAAGGGACAGUAAUGUGUAGGUACCUACCCCGAGGUCUGGGAUAGCUGCGGGAAACUGCAGGUAAUACCGGAUAAUGUCUUCGGACCAAAGGUGUGAUUCCACCUUGGGAGGGGCCUGCAUCCUAUUAGCUUGUUGGCGGGGUAACGGCCCACCAAGGCGACGAUGGGUAGCGGGUGUGAGAGCACGACCCGCGUCAUUGGGGCUAAGACCCUCCCCAGCCACUUACGGGUGGCUGCAGCCGAGGAUCUUCGGCAAUGGACGCAAGCCUGACCGAGCGACGCCGCGUGCGGGAUGAAGGCCUUCGGGUUGUAAACCGCUGUCGUAGAGGAGGAAAUGCAGGGGGGUUCUCCCUUCUGUUUGACCUAUUCUAGGAGGAAGGACGGGCUAAGUUCGUGCCAGCCGCCGCAGUAA
rnacentral:rRNA from 1 species